ACCACUGAUCCUUGUGUCAGGAUAGAUUAGCUUCCUGUUUUCUAGAGUUAAAAAGUGUCUUACAUUUAUAUUUUAUGUACUCUUUCCUGUUUGGUUUACAUCCUAUACAUUCACUAAACUCGCUUGUGUUUUUUUAGUAGUUCUUUAUAUAUUUAUGUAGAUUAUUAAUUUCUACAUAGACAGUCAUGCUAUUUGUAAUUAAAGACUGUUUCACAACUUCAUUUCUAACAGCAUAAUGCCUUUUAUUUCUUUAUUUAGUCACUCCAGGACAACACUUAAUAGAAAUUAUAAGCGUGAACACCUUGUGUUGUUCCUGACAUUAGAGGGAAACAUCCAAUCUUUCAUCCUGAAGCAAGAGGUUACCCGUAGGUUCUCUGUUAUCUAAUCUAUCACAGGGAUUAGACCAUAUGCCAAUGUGGGAGCUGGUUUGCAUUCUCUUUAAGGCUGUUGUCUUUGUAUCUGAUGUUGGAAUUUUAAGUCAACAAGACAGGCAGUUAAACAGGAAUGAUAAAUGUAAAAUGGGGUGAUCACAGACAAGGCGGAACCCACAAACAUAGCUUGGACCUUGGAGGAUGGCGUGGAGCCUGUGUAAGUGUGCACUGUCCUCCACCUUGAUGAUGUAGGUGUCUUGCAGGGAAAGCUGGUGCCCUUGUCAGAGCUAAACAGGCACCUGCUCAAAGGUCAAAGAAACUGGAAGAGGAGCAGUGCAGGGCUGGGCAGGCCCAUGAAUACACAGCUGCAAGUUUCCUGAAGCACUGCUUUCCUGUGUCCUACAAAUUUUGCUAGUAAAUUCCAUCAGCGUGCCUGCAGGAGGACAAGACAGCCUGAAUUGUGCCCGAGGAGGACGGAGCAGGGGUGCAGACCCACACCUCACCCUUUCUUACCCACGUGUAUAACCAACAGUGCUUCUGUACAGAACUUCAAAACCCUUAGAGCUUCCUGAGAGACAGGAGUGUCUUCAUCACGCUAAUGAGCUUUGAAAUAAAUGAGUAUCAGGAAAGUGCCCUGAGGCAAAGAAGAUGCCGCUGCGUAAGAAAAGGAUCCAAUUUGGGAAGCAGGAGCUGUGCUCCCCAUGGUCCUCCAGAUAUUGGCAAUUUUUCUCUAUCCAGGGGACUGAAGAUAAUUUUGGCUCUCUACCCAGGGCCCUGUUUUUCAACUUCCAAAGUCCUGUAAAGGAAGGACACAAGUUAAUCGCCUGAGAAACUCUAAAUCCUGACCCAAAUGAGCCCAGAGAUAGCACCAGAGGAAUCUACAGAACCAACAUUACUAAUCAGCCCUUAUCUCCUAUAUGUUUACCAUCCCACAAUUUGCUCCCAAGAAACCCAAAAUCCUUUUACUUAGUCACUUUUCUAAAAAGUUAUUGAUCUUUUGUUAAGAUGCCAUCCAAGCCAUGUUCGAACCACUGCAUUGCGUCACUUAUCACAGAGUCUUCCCUGUGCCAGAGAGAUGCACAUGUUAAUAAAAGUCUGGUUUUUCGGUUUGCUCUGUCUUUUGUAGGG